UACAGAGGGGGCAAGCGUUAUUCGGAAUUAUUGGGCGUAAAGGGCGCGUAGGCGGCUUUGCAAGUGGCGGGUGAAAUCCCUCGGCUUAACCGAGGAACUGCCUGCCAGACUGUGAGGCUUGAGACCGGGAGAGGUGAGUGGAAUUCCCAGUGUAGCGGUGAAAUGCGUAGAUAUUGGGAGGAACACCAGUGGCGAAGGCGGCUCACUGGCCCGAUACUGACGCUGAGGCACGAAAGCGUGGGGAGCAAACAGGG
rnacentral:rRNA from 1 species